UGCCCCUGCGCCACGUUGGGCCCCGGGGACACCCCGGAGCGAUUCGGGCUCCCGGUUUUCCUCAGGGGCACCUUUCCCUGGUUUCCUCCUCUGAAGAACGGCCGGCCUUCGCCCGCCCUGCGUCCCGCUUUAAUUCUAAGUUAAAUUCCUUAAUUAUUUUGUUAACGGCUCAGCCUGCAGGACACAGUGGCCACAUGGCUUUCGUUCACCGCGUGUAUCCGACUCUCACGCCCAGUGUCAACGUCCCUGAGUAACUUUAAAGUCUAACCGUCUGUCAUAUAGGAAGUCACCGUGUAAGCCCAUGAGGCUGAGUCACAGCACCCAGCACACAGAGCAGCCACUGCCCUGAGUGCCUACUGUGACCCUUUGUCCAGGGACCGAUGAGUUGAGGUGCUGUGACCCCCGAUAAUGGAUGGAAGAUUGUGGGGCAAAGGGGCGAGCACCAUGUCCACCAUCUCAGGUAUCCAGAGCUAUGAAGAUGUAGCAAAGCUGAGAUAUUUUGUUUCUUUUCUCAUUUGCAUUGCAACAGUUAAUUCAGUGCAGGGGGCAGGAGGGAGGCAGAGGAAGCGAAGAGCCCAGGUGCUCUACAGAACCAAGAGCGGACAAAAAGCCCGCAAAUGAACAGAGACUGGAGACUGCCCCCCGGUCUUUUGCUGGGAGAGGUCGUUUCAGAUGACGCCGUCUCAUCUCAGAAAGGUGUGCAGAAGGGCCAGCCACGCAGGGCCCCGUGUCAGGGCACCGCCACCACCAGAAAGUCUCUUUGGAGGUGGCAGGGAGGCGUCCGCAUCACAAAAAACACAACUUAAUGGCCCCUAAUCAGCAUGGUAGUUAGCAUUUUAAGAAAAAAAUAUUCAAAUGAAUGGAUUUCCCUUCACACUUUAAAAAUAGUGGCACCACAGCAAGAAGACAGCCUUUGCUGACCAGACACAGGGACCGUUCCUUCUCCAGCCCGGCCACCAUCUGCCGUUCCGUCAUCCAAACUGCUUGAAAAGUCUUUCAGAGUUAAAGCCAGUUCUCUCUUUUGCAAUUUUUUCCCUACCUAUGAAUGAGUCCAACUGCUAGUCCAGACAUGCUGGGGAAGGGACCAGGGCUGGGGGGGCAGCCCCUGGCCUUCACGUGUCUGCGUUUCGAGAUAAAAUGCAGUGACAGGCAAUCUUGCAUCAUGUCAUGAUGCACAGGGUUGUUGGUCCCUGGAAAUGUGGACCUACUCUGUGACUCACUCAGGAAUGAGCUAUGGCAGCAGCCGUCACGUUUAACGCCUUUAAAAUUCUCUGCACCCUCCCCUCGGCGUGAACACCCUGGGUGUACUGAGCCCUUUGUGUAUAUUUGAGCAGGAAAGAGGAGAAGGCUUUCUCCUGUGCCAAACGGAAAAGAAAACAAAAGUAUCCUUUGCUGCCUUGUCAGGCCCACGCUUGGUGAUUUGCCACAGGGCCCGGACUCUCAAAGCCACAGAAACAAACUUGGCCACAUGUGUGUCCAAGAGGCAGGACCGUCAAUGGCUGCAAACUUCCAAAGAGGCUGACGUCACCGGGGCAGCAGUCACUCGGCUCCCGUAGGGCCCCGGCCAGGCCGCAGACCCGGAAAGCCCUGCGCCCGCCUCCCAGACCGACCGCCUCCCCCGCACGCUCACCCUCCAGCAGCAGCGCCGGUCUCCUGGUGGACGCCCCCACUUCCAAGGCAGCAGGUCUCAGCCGGGAUUUUUUUUUAAGCAUAUAAUCUAGAAAAUACAAAGGAUCACACUACUGAUUUUCGGCCAAGAUGUUACAGUUUUCCACCGUUUCGUGCCCAGUAGCUCUGUGCACACGGGUCGUUUUACACUCCCCAGUGGGCGCGUCCACCCCAGGGCGCGUCACGCUGUCUCUCGGUGUCUGGGUGUGGCUUGGCCAGGGUGUCCAGCAGGUGCGCAGCCAAGUGUAGAGUUCAACAUGGGGGGCGGGGAGGCCUGCUCGAACUUGGCCCUGAGGCUGCCCCAGCGGAGCGGGAAGGGAAGGGGCUUUUUUGUUGUUGUUAACUUCAUGACUUCGUAUAAGCCCAAGAAUCAUGGCUAAA